rnacentral:rRNA from 1 species
CCCUACGGGGCGCAGCAGUGGGGAAUAUUGCACAAUGGGGGAAACCCUGAUGCGGCGACGCCGCGUGAGUGAAGAAGUAUCUCGGUAUGUAAAGCUCUAUCAGCAGGAAAGAUAAUGACGGUACCUGACUAAGAAGCCCCGGCUAACUACGUGCCAGCAGCCGCGGUAAUACGUAGGGGGCAAGCGUUAUCCGGAUUUAUUGGGUUUAAAGGGUGCGCAGGCGGGCUGUUAAGCCGGCGGUAAAAAUUCAGGGCUCAACCCUGUCGAGCCGUCGGAACUGGCAGGCUUGAGUGGGCGAGAAGGAU